GGGGCCGUAGCUCAGUUUGGGAGAGCGCUUGAAUGGCAUUCAAGAGGUCAGGGGUUCGAUCCCCCUCGGCUCCA
rnacentral:tRNA from 1 species